CUAUGUGUUGUUGGGUAGGGGAGCGUUCUGUAAGCCUGCGAAGGUGUACUGUGAGGUAUGCUGGAGGUAUCAGAAGUGCGAAUGCUGACAUAAGUAACGAUAAAGCGGGUGAAAAGCCCGCUCGCCGGAAGACCAAGGGUUCCUGUCCAACGUUAAUCGGGGCAGGGUGAGUCGACCCCUAAGGCGAGGCCGAAAGGCGUAGUCGAUGGGAAACAGGUUAAUAUUCCUGUACUUGGUGUUACUGCGAAGGGGGGACGGAGAAGGCUAUGUUGGCCGGGCGACGGUUGUCCCGGUUUAAGCGUGUAGGCUGGUUUUCCAGGCAAAUCCGGAAAAUCAAGGCUGAGGCGUGAUGACGAGGCACUACGGUGCUGAAGCAACAAAUGCCCUGCUUCCAGGAAAAGCCUCUAAGCAUCAGGUAACAUCAAAUCGUACCCCAAACCGACACAGGUGGUCAGGUAGAGAAUACCAAGGCGCUUGAGAGAACUCGGGUGAAGGAACUAGGCAAAAUGGUGCCGUAACUUCGGGAGAAGGCACGCUGAUAUGUAGGUGAAGUCCCUCGCGGAUGGAGCUGAAAUCAGUCGAAGAUACCAGCUGGCUGCAACUGUUUAUUAAAAACACAGCACUGUGCAAACACGAAAGUGGACGUAUACGGUGUGACGCCUGCCCGGUGCCGGAAGGUUAAUUGAUGGGGUUAGCGCAAGCG
rnacentral:rRNA from 1 species